UCUUCCGUUUACGACACAUCAGGGAAGAGGCAUCUUCUGAGAACCUUCAGCAUCAUUCUCAUUCCCUACCCUCCUGUCCUUCAGAUGAAAUAUUCUGAGUUUUAUCCAUUUCUCUACAUGGAAUUUUGUCCCAGACUCUGGCAAUUCUGGUCUCUGGAUCCAUUUGAAGUACUUUUCUGAACCCACGGCUUCCACAUUAGAACCCAAGGCCACGAAGACUUCACCAGCCACGGACUAGAAAUAACUUCAAUAUGAGGAUAAAACAGCCAGAGGAGGGAAUUACAACCAAGAAAAGAGAAAAGGCUAAAAACGUCUUGAAGUGUUGGGCUGGAAUUGCAGACACAGCCUGCUCGCAGAUGAUUCUGGAAGAGACCCGAUAAUGGAUGUCAUUAAGAGAAGAAAUGGCUGCUCUCUUCUUAUUUGUUCAAGAACUCAUUUGAAUCACUCAUAUCCUGUGGAGAAGAGCAAACCUCAACCUUCAAAUCCGUCGAACUGCCGUACAACAAAAUCACACUUCCAGCCAACAAGGAGUCGCCUUUUCCCCUCCAGGUCCUCCGUGUCACAAGCGCAGCCACCGCCCGCCCCACACCUGCACACAGCACGCUACCGGAAGGGACCCAGGAGGUGAGGCAUGACAUGGUGGUGAGUUCCUGGUGUGUUCUCCAGGUUUCCAGAGGCCAGAAGGAAGGGCCCCUGCGUCCUUCGGUUCCACAGAUGUGCCUGGGACACUGGGACAUGUGAAUUCUCUACUCCGCGCAAUACACUUCGUGAAUACGGAAGGGGGCACGGGGGCAGACCUUCCAAAACUCAGAAACUGCCACCAAGAAACCUACCUGAAGGGAAUGGUAGAGGAAUUUCCCCAUGGGGAGAGGAAACGGGAGACGAAAACACGGAACUUCAGAAAGGAAAAAAAGAGCGUUGGAAUGGGUAAAAACAGCCGUAGAAAUACAACAGAAAUAUAAGUAGCCAAGUAAUAUAAGUAAAUGCAAUGAACUACCUUCUUCAUGAGUUUCACGAGUCAUUUUUGAGAGGUGGAAGCACACAUUACAGCACUCGGUAUUUGUGUAUGAAGAGGAGAGACUCAGGACGCAUAUUUAAACCAUGGGGAGAUCAAGGGAGUCAGGUGUCUCCACGUCUAUCCAAGUGCAAAAUGCUGAUACCAGUAACCUCUGUUAGUUCAACGAGGUCUUGAAACACCAAACACACUACAAAAAAUUAUUCAAAGUGAUAUACUCAAAACACCAUAAAUUAAGCAAAAUGGGAUCUCAAUCUUUCAUAUUUCUGAUCUCUUAAAGAUUUUUCAUUAAAAUACGUUGUUGAGAAGAAUGAGUGUGUUUGAUGCCUAGCAAACAAGAAAACCAGAGAAGACUGGCAGGGAGGGAGUGGAGACGGGGAGGAGAGAGACAGAGACAGAGACAGAGACAGUGACAGAGAGAGGGCAGACUUACUUUGUAUUUCAACACAGGGUUGAAAGAAAGAAGUAGGAUCAUAAAAACACCAUCGGAAGCAUCAAAGAGCUAAUGCGACUGUUUUCUGAAGCAGAUAAUGCAUAGGUUACCGGGGCAAGUGUCAAAAAUAAAUCUAUUUUAGAACUUU